CGGCCUACGGGGGGCAGCAGUGAGGAAUAUUGGUCAAUGGGCUUACGCCUGAACCAGCCAAGUCGCGUGAGGGAAGACUGCCCUAUGGGUUGUAAACCUCUUUUGUCAGGGAGCAAUUGGCGCUACGUGUAGCGUUAUCGAGAGUACCUGAAGAAAAAGCAUCGGCUAACUCCGUGCCAGCAGCCGCGGUAAUACGGAGGAUGCGAGCGUUAUCCGGAUUCACUGGGUGUAAAGGGAGCGUAGACGGCCAAGCAAGCCAGGGGUGAAAGCCCGGGGCCCAACCCCGGGACUGCCCUUGGAACUGC
rnacentral:rRNA from 1 species